GCUGGAUUUGCUGUGCCGUUGCUGCUGCUCUCAGUGACAGCCCCUCAAUCACCCUGCGAAGGAACACGCUUCAUAACACCCAUCCACGGGGGUAGCCCUGCGUUUCCCCCUAAAAAGAGCAGCGUCUGGGCAUCAGGAGGGCCGUGCCUGCGGGGCUGGCGAACCGAGGAUGUGUGUCUUGGCCGGCAGAUGCUCCAGGUUUUGCCACUCUGACGACUUCAAGGGGCCUCAUGGCUUGUGGUGAGCAGAUUGUUCCGGAGAGCAUGGCACGUGGGUUCCGGAGUCCUCCUGGAGCCCAGGACCCCACUGUGGGAAGCCAGAAGUGAUUCGUCUACAUUACGAACGGACCCCGCUGUUUCUGUUACAUCACACUACAUCGUGGGGACAUGAGCGACAGUGACAGAGACAGACGGAUGGAUGGACAGUUGGGACCAGUGGAUCGGUGCGAGCCCAGGGGAAGGGGAAGUUGGUGAGCCUUUGGCAGGGCAGCUCCUAGGGAAGUCGCAGCUAGAGGACCUCGUGGGUGCAAACGCAGCUUCCUGGUAAGCAAGAUGGGGCUGAGGGUGGCCUAUGGGGGGAUCUCUCCCCCUAGAACUAAUUGGGGCCCAGAACGGAGGUCCUGGGUCAUGACCUUGAGCUCCUGUCCCCUUGGCCUCAGUUUGUCCCCCUGGGACUUGAUGGUGUGUGUCCAAGGGGGGAUCCACGCUACCCUAACUGCCACCAAGCUCUGGGGCAAGAUCUCCGAAGGCCGGCUCAGUGACAUGACAGCAGCUCCACCAGCCUUCUCUACCCCACGUCUGCGGGGGCCCAGGGACUCUCGCUGCCCCGCUUUUCCCCAGUGUAUUCAGUCCCUGCCCCCUGGAAUUCCUUCGCUUUGUCUCCGACGGGCUGAGGAGCUGUGCUCGGCCCUGAAACCUCACUUAGCUCAGUUCUCCCUGACCUUGGCAUGACCUAGGGCCUUGUAUUCAGUAGGCGCUCAGUGCACACA